rnacentral:rRNA from 1 species
GAUAAACGCUGGCGGCGUGCCUAACACAUGCAAGUCGAACGCCCUUAGCAAUAAGGGAGUGGCGGACGGGUGAGGAACACGUGGGUCACCUACCCUUUGGUGAGGAAUACCGGCGAGAAAUCGCCGACAAUACCGCAUAUGCUUCGCAAGAAGCAAAGCUCGCAAGAGCGCCAGAGGAUGGGCCUGCGUCCGAUUAGCCAGUUGGUGGGGUAACGGCCUACCAAAGCGACGAUCGGUAGCUGGUCUGAGAGGACGAUCAGCCACACUGGGAUUGAGAACGGCCCAGACUCCUACGGGGGGCAGCAGUGAGGAAUUUUCGGCAAUGGGGGAAACCCUGACCGAGCAACGCCGCGUGCAGGAUGACGGCCUUCGGGUUGUAAACUGCUUUUCUUUGGGACGAGAUCGGACGGUACCAGAGGAACAAGCCCCGGCUAACUAUGUGCCAGCAGCCGCCGUAACAC